rnacentral:rRNA from 1 species
CCUACGGGUGGCAGCAGUGAGGAAUAUUGGUCAAUGGGCGGAAGCCUGAACCAGCCAAGUAGCGUGCGGGAUGAAGGCCCUACGGGUCGUAAACCGCUUUUGCACGGGGAUAACACCCUCCACUUGUGGAGGUCUGCAGGUACCGUGCGAAUAAGGGCCGGCUAAUUCCGUUCCAGCAGCCGCGGUAAUACGGAGGGCCCGAGCGUUAUCCGGAUUCAUUGGGCUUAAAGGGAGCGUAGGCGGGCGUUUAAGUCAGCUGGAAAAUCCCGCGGCUCAACCGCGCCCCGAAGUUGAAACUGGAAGUCUCGAGUUCACAACAGGCAGGCGGAAUGCGGGGUGUAGCGGUGAAAUGCAUAGAUAUCACGAGGAACCCCGAUUGCGAAGGCAGCCUGCCGGGGUGCGACUGACGCUGAGGCUCGAAGGUGCGGGUAUCAAACAGGAUUAGAUACCCGAGUAGUC